rnacentral:rRNA from 1 species
GUUUGGUUAAGUUAGAAAGGGCGCACGGUGGAUGCCUUGACACUAGGAGUCGAUGAAGGACGGGACUAACGCCGAUAUGCUUCGGGGAGCUGUAAGUAAGCUUUGAUCCGAAGAUUUCCGAAUGGGGAAACCCACCAUACGUAAUGGUAUGGUAUCCUUACCUGAAUACAUAGGGUAAGGAAGACAGACCCAGGGAACUGAAACAUCUAAGUACCUGGAGGAAGAGAAAGCAAAUGCGAUUUCCUGAGUAGCGGCGAGCGAAACGGAACAUAGCCCAAACCAAGAGGCUUGCCUCUUGGGGUUGUAGGACAUUCUAUACGGAGUUACAAAGGAACGAGGUAGACGAAGCGACCUGGAAAGGUCCGUCGUAGAGGGUAACAACCCCGUAGUCGAAACUUCGUUCUCUCUUGAAUGUAUCCUGAGUACGGCGGAACACGUGAAAUUCCGUCGGAAUCUGGGAGGACCAUCUCCCAAGGCUAAAUACUCCCUAGUGAUCGAUAGUGAACCAGUACCGUGAGGGAAAGGUGAAAAGCACCCCGGAAGGGGAGUGAAAGAGAUCCUGAAACCGUGUGCCUACAAAUAGUCAGAGCCCGUUAACGGGUGAUGGCGUGCCUUUUGUAGAAUGAACCGGCGAGUUACGAUCCCGUGCGAGGUUAAGCUGAAGAGGCGGAGCCGCAGCGAAAGCGAGUCUGAAUAGGGCGUUUAGUACGUGGUCGUAGACCCGAAACCAGGUGAUCUACCCAUGUCCAGGGUGAAGUUCAGGUAACACUGAAUGGAGGCCCGAACCCACGCACGUUGAAAAGUGCGGGGAUGAGGUGUGGGUAGCGGAGAAAUUCCAAUCGAACCUGGAGAUAGCUGGUUCUCCCCGAAAUAGCUUUAGGGCUAGCCUUAAGUGUAAGAGUCUUGGAGGUAGAGCACUGAUUGGACUAGGGGUCCUCAUCGGAUUACCGAAUUCAGUCAAACUCCGAAUGCCAAUGACUUAUCCUUAGGAGUCAGACUGCGAGUGAUAAGAUCCGUAGUCAAAAGGGAAACAGCCCAGACCGCCAGCUAAGGUCCCAAAGUGUGUAUUAAGUGGAAAAGGAUGUGGAGUUGCUUAGACAACUAGGAUGUUGGCUUAGAAGCAGCCACCAUUUAAAGAGUGCGUAAUAGCUCACUAGUCGAGUGACUCUGCGCCGAAAAUGUACCGGGGCUAAAUACACCACCGAAGCUGCGGAUUGAUACCAAUGGUAUCAGUGGUAGGGGAGCGUUCUAAGGACAGUGAAGUCAGACCGGAAGGACUGGUGGAGUGCUUAGAAGUGAGAAUGCCGGUAUGAGUAGCGAAAGACGGGUGAGAAUCCCGUCCACCGAAUGCCUAAGGUUUCCUGAGGAAGGCUCGUCCGCUCAGGGUUAGUCAGGACCUAAGCCGAGGCCGACAGGCGUAGGCGAUGGACAACAGGUUGAUAUUCCUGUACCACCUCUUUAUCGUUUGAGCAAUGGAGGGACGCAGAAGGAUAGAAGAAGCGUGCGAUUGGUUGUGCACGUCCAAGCAGUUAGGCUGAUAAGUAGGCAAAUCCGCUUAU